CCUACGGGUGGCAGCAGUGAGGAAUAUUGGUCAAUGGCCGCAAGGCUGAACCAGCCAAGUCGCGUGAGGGAUGACGGUCCUAUGGAUUGUAAACCUCUUUUGUCAGGGAGCAAAAGGCGCCACGUGUGGCGCUUUGCGAGUACCUGAAGAAAAAGCAUCGGCUAACUCCGUGCCAGCAGCCGCGGUAAUACGGAGGAUGCGAGCGUUAUCCGGAUUUAUUGGGUUUAAAGGGUGCGCAGGCGGAAUGUCAAGUCAGCGGUAAAAUUUCGGGGCUAAACCCCGUCGUGCCGUUGAAACUGGGGUUCUUGAGUGAGCGAGAAGUAUGCGGAAUGCGUGGUGUAGCGGUGAAAUGCAUAGAUAUCACGCAGAACUCCGAUUGCGAAGGCAGCAUACCGGCGCUCAACUGACGCUCAUGCACGAAAGCGUGGGUAUCGAACAGGAUUAGAUACCCGAGUAGUC
rnacentral:rRNA from 1 species